GAGUUUGAUCUUGGCUCAGGAUGAACGCUGGCGGCGUGCCUAAUACAUGCAAGUCGAGCGAACGGACGAGAAGCUUGCUUCUCUGAUGUUAGCGGCGGACGGGUGAGUAACACGUGGAUAACCUACCUAUAAGACUGGGAUAACUUCGGGAAACCGGAGCUAAUACCGGAUAAUAUUUUGAACCGCAUGGUUCAAAAGUGAAAGACGGUCUUGCUGUCACUUAUAGAUGGAUCCGCGCUGCAUUAGCUAGUUGGUAAGGUGACGGCUUACCAAGGCAACGAUGCAUAGCCGACCUGAGAGGGUGAUCGGCCACACUGGAACUGAGACACGGUCCAGACUCCUACGGGAGGCAGCAGUAGGGAAUCUUCCGCAAUGGGCGAAAGCCUGACGGAGCAACGCCGCGUGAGUGAUGAAGGUCUUCGGAUCGUAAAACUCUGUUAUUAGGGAGAACAUAUGUGUAAGUAACUGUGCACAUCUUGACGGUACCUAAUCAGAAAGCCACGGCUAACUACG
rnacentral:rRNA from 1 species